rnacentral:tRNA from 1 species
GCGCUCGUGGCUCAAUGGAUAGAGUACAAGAUUGCGGAUCUUGGGGUUGUGGGUUCGAAUCCCGCCGAGCGCACCA